ensembl:lncRNA
AAGGAAGUAGCUGGAUGGGACUGCACAUUCCCUUUGGGGAAGCCCUCUGCAGCAUUAAGAUGCUGUUAGCACUACACUUGCAGCUAAGCUACUCCAAAAGCUCUAUGCAUGCCCAGCUCCACGGCUUGGAUGCUUCACCCUGCUUGCUCCCAUAGAGGAGCAUCCCACCUCCUGGGCAGCGACUCUGGCUGCACGGGGCCCUCCACAGUGUUCCAGCACUGCUACCUCUCCCCAGUCCUGGAGCAGAGCUGUGUAAAACAUGCAGACAUUUUCAUCACUUAACUUAUUGUUGCCCUGGGGGAAUCUGCAUAAGAUUACCCAGUGCUCUUUAAAUCAGUCCCAGAACAAUUGUUUCCAGCAGAGUUGUUCUUUCCUCUGUAAGCAACCUCUCUUUUUCAGACAAGCUUGACUGUUACACCAGAGCAACGUCUGUUUAUACCAACUACAGAGGUUGUUCUUUCCACCAGGAUGAAUGGGUUGGCUUCUUCUCAAAUCCACCCAACAUUUUCAGCCCAGCUGCAUGGCCACUUUCAGACAUCUGACAGAAAAGUCUAGCAGACAGCAGAUAGUAGAUUAGGGGACUCAUAAAUACUUCUAAAAGUGCAAGCUAAGAUUAUAAAGGAACUAGAUAACAGAAAGCCAUGCAUACUGCACAGAUGCACUUGUGGAAAUACAGGAAGGACAGAAAUUAACCACCUCUGAUUAGAAAGUAUCACCAACCCAGCCAACCAACAUAUCAAUGACAGGAUCAUAGAGUCACUAAGGUUGCAACAGAUCUCUAAGAUCACACAGUCCAACCCCAACUCAUCCCCACCACACCCACUGACCACGUCCUUCAGUGCCAUAUCUACACAUUUAUUCAGCACCUCCUGGGAUGAUGAUCCCACCACCUCUCUAGGAGGGUCAUCAUCCUGUCAAUGAGAAAGGCUUUUCCCAUUCAGCCUCAUUUAUUACUGACACUGCAAACAACAUGCCUGCUUUUCUCACUGUUCUGCUCCUUUGUCCCGCUAUCCACUUCAAGGCUGUGCAGCAAGGUGCACCUGGGCUCACCAUGCAAAAGCAGCAUCCAGAAAGUCAGCUCUAGUCACUAUUGGGUCUAAUUGCCAGGUGUAGUGGGACACAGUCUUUUUCCCUAAUCACAAAGCAGAACCCUUGAAAUAUCCUACCAAACAAAAACAAUGCCUGCUCCAGCAUUUGUCUCCUGAUUUUAGGGAAGAGGGCCAGACAAACACAAUUAGUCACACAUCCCAGACAC